rnacentral:rRNA from 1 species
UACGUAGGGACCAAGCGUUGUCCGAAGUUACUGGGCGUAAAGCGCGUGUAGGCGGGUUGCCAAGUCCGCUGUGAAAGCCCGAGGCUCAACCUCGGAGGGUCGGUGGAUACUGGCAGUCUUGAAGUGGCUAGGGGGAGAUGGAAUUACCGGUGUAGCGGUGAAAUGCGUAGAGAUCGGUAGGAACACCAGUGGCGAAGGCGGUCUCCUGGAGCUGGCUUGACGCUGAGACGCGAAAGCUGGGGGAGCGAACGGG